UACGUAGGUGACGAGCGUUGUUCGGAAUUAUUGGGCGUAAAGGGUUCGUAGGAGGUUUAUUAAGAUUGGUGUGAAAUCCCAAGGCUCAACCUUGGAACUGCAUUGAUUACUGAUGAACUAGAGUAUCGUAGAGGAAAGCGGAAUUCCAGGUGUAGCGGUGGAAUGCGUAGAUAUCUGGAAGAACACCGACAGCGAAGGCAGCUUUCUGGGCGAUAACUGACUCUGAGGAACGAAAGCAUGGGGAGCAAACAGG
rnacentral:rRNA from 1 species